UACGUAGGGUGCAAGCGUUGUCCGGAAUUAUUGGGCGUAAAGAGCUCGUAGGCGGUCUGUCGCGUCUGCUGUGAAAACUCGGGGCUUAACCCCGGGCCUGCAGUGGGUACGGGCAGACUAGAGUGCGGUAGGGGAGACUGGAAUUCCUGGUGUAGCGGUGAAAUGCGCAGAUAUCAGGAGGAACACCGGUGGCGAAGGCGGGUCUCUGGGCCUUACCUGACGCUGAGGAGCGAAAGCGUGGGUAGCGAACAGG
rnacentral:rRNA from 1 species